rnacentral:rRNA from 1 species
UACGGAGGGUCCAAGCGUUAUCCGGAAUCAUUGGGUUUAAAGGGUCCGUAGGCGGUUUUGUAAGUCAGUGGUGAAAGCCCAUCGCUCAACGGUGGAACGGCCAUUGAUACUGCAAGACUUGAAUUAUUGGGAAGCAACUAGAAUAUGUAGUGUAGCGGUGAAAUGCUUAGAGAUUACAUGGAAUACCAAUUGCGAAGGCAGGUUGCUACCAAUACAUUGACGCUGAUGGGACGAAAA